UACGUAGGUGGCGAGCGUUGUCCGGAUUUACUGGGCGUAAAGAGCUCGUAGGCGGUCUGUUGCGUCGGCUGUGAAAACCCGGGGCUCAACCCCGGGCCUGCAGCCGAUACGGGCAGACUAGAGUUCGGCAGGGGAGACUGGAAUUCCUGGUGUAGCGGUGAAGUGCGCAGAUAUCAGGAGGAACACCGGUGGCGAAGGCGGGUCUCUGGGCCGAUACUGACGCUGAGGAGCGAAAGCGUGGGGAGCGAACAGG
rnacentral:rRNA from 1 species